UUUGCCACUUUGCUGGAAGAGCGAAAUGGUC
rnacentral:piRNA from 1 species